rnacentral:rRNA from 1 species
UACGUAGGGGGCAAGCGUUGUCCGGAUUUAUUGGGCGUAAAGAGCGUGUAGGCGGCCAUACAGGUCCGUUGUGAAAACUCGAGGCUUAACCUCGAGACGUCGAUGGAAACCGUAUGGCUAGAGUCCGGAAGAGGAGAGUGGAAUUCCCAGUGUAGCGGUGAAAUGCGCAGAUAUCAGGAGGAACACCGAUGGCGAAGGCAGAUCUCUGGGCCGUAACUGACGCUGAGGAGCGAAAGCAUGGGGAGCGAACAGG